CCUAAUAUUGUGAACGUGUCAGAUUCAGGCCGGAUUUUCAAAAAUCCGGCCUGACUCGUCGAAACUCGAAUCCGAGCUUGACAGAUUUUAAUAAUCCAUAUCCAAAGCCGAACCAGACCAAAAAUCCGACAUCCGAACCCAAAAAUCCGAACCCAAAAUAAUUAUUUCUCUUUUCAAUAUUUCAAAAUAUAUUAUUACAUUAAAUCUAAAUCUUUAAAAUAUAAUAUUAAAUUUUUAUAUACAUAUUAUAUAUAAUGUAAAAUAAAUUCGGAUCGAGUACAGUCAAAAUUUAUAUCCGAAUCCAUAUCCGUCGGAUUUUUGUUUCUGAUAUUCUUAUCCGAAAUCAUAUCUAUUUAUUAUCGAAUAAUCCGCUCCCGUUUGAAUUUGGAUUCGAAUAAAAUUCCAGGCAUUCGUACCCAUUGACAUAUCUAAUGGGCCCGCCCCAGCCCAUUGGUUCAAUAAAAGUUUUUUAUUUUUUUUUUGGGUAAACUUCAAUUACUACCCUUGUGGUUUCGUACUUACUCACUUUAAUACCCUGUUAUUUAAAGUGUAUUAAAUUAGUAUUAUGUGGUUUCAUUUUUAUUUUGUCGUUAACUUUUUCGUUAAUAUUUCAUUAAAUUAUAUACAAAAAAUUUAUGAUAUUCCAUAUAGGUUUAUCGAAUAUUUACUUUAGUACUCUUUAGUUUUAAUAGUGCCACUGAUUUAAUGAAAAAUAUUAGCGAAAUCGGUAAUAAAAAUAUAAAAAUAAAACUACAGGGUACGAAAUUAAUACACUUCAAACCACAUGAUACUAAAAUGAGAAAAUGUAAAACCACAUGGGUGGUAUUUGAAGUUUCAACUUUUAUUUUUUAGUGCUAAUUGCAUACAAGUCCCGACAAACAUAGUGAAUUACAAAUAUCUAUUCCUGUAAAAUUCAGCUUUCAUAAGUUAUUCUUGCAAAAGUUCUAAUACUUUCAGAUAUGUCCCUUUGGUCUAUUACCGUUAGAAACUGUUUAUAUUUUCAAUUUUGCCAUCACAAAUAUAUCCCUCAAAAAAUUAUAACAGUGUAAUAUAAGAGGGGUGAAAAUAUCAAAAAUUAAUCCGGAUAAAGUAUUUAACCUAUGGUUAACUAAACUUUUCUAACGGAUUCUAACAGUAAAGACAUAUCUGAAAAUAUUAGAACUUUUAUAAAAAUAACUUAUAAAAAUUAAAUUUUAUAAAAAUAUAUUUGUAAUUUACUAUAUUUUUAGGAACUUGUAUGCAAUCGACCUUACUUUUUAGGAAAAACUUCAAAUAACCCCCUUGUGGUUUCACUCUUUCUCACUUUAGUACCCUGUGGUUUAAAGUGUAUCAAGUUGGUACUCUGUGGUUUCGUACUUUCUCACUUUAGUACCAUGUGGUUUAAUAUUUCAUUAAGAGAAAAAUAAAACCACAAAGUACUAACUUGAUAUAAAAAUAAAACCACAGAGUACUAACUUGAUACAAAAAUAAAACCACAGAGUACUAACUUGAUACAUUUUAAACUAUAGGGUACUAAAGUGAAAUAGUGCAAAACUACCGGAUACUAACUUGAUCCACUUUAAAUCACAAAAUACUAAAAUAAAAAAGUACAAAACUAAGGGGGGGUUUUUGAAGU
rnacentral:lncRNA from 1 species